ensembl:snRNA U6 U6 spliceosomal RNA
GUGCUUGCUUUGGCAGCACGUAUACUAAAAUUGGAAUGAUACAGAGAAGAUUAGCAUGACCCAUGAAGCAUAACACACACACACACAUACAUAUAUAUAUAUAU